AUGGUCCUGAUUCAUUACGGCGUCCAGUACCUGAUCGAGCACCCUCCUCCACCCAACACCGACAGCCAGUACCUUGAGCUCGACACCCAUGUCGCCCUCGCCAUGUAUGCCACCCUCACAGAUCAGAUCGUUGACCACGUGAUCGGCGCCACCACCACUUUCAAUCUCUGGACUCGAAUCCGGGAUUACUUCCUCGCCAAUCGUGCGGCUUGGUAUAUGAUGCUCAAUCGUCAGUACCGCAAUCUCAAACAGGGCGAUCUCUCUGUUGACGAGUACGCGCGCCGCAUGAAGCUACUCACCGCGGGUCUCGCCGACAACGACCAUGCGGUCUCCGAGGUGGAUCUCACGCAGUUCCUCCGCGGCAUCGACGGCCGUCUUGACACCAACUGGGUCGUGCUGGGGGACACGGUCCCCUUGCCCCCAUUCGAGACCGUGUUCUCGCGC
rnacentral:rRNA from 1 species